CCUACGGGUGGCAGCAGUGGGGAAUAUUGCACAAUGGGGGAAACCCUGAUGCAGCGACGCCGCGUGAGUGAAGAAGUAUCUCGGUAUGUAAAGCUUCAUCAGCAGGGUAGAAAAUGACGGUACCUGAUUAAGAAGCACCGGCUAAAUACGUGCCAGCAGCCGCGGUAAUACGUAGGGGGCAAGCGUUAUCCGGAUUGACUGGGUGUAAAGGGAGCGUAGUCGGCAGCACAAGUCUGGAGUGAAAUGCCGGGGCUUAACCCCGGAACGGCUUUGGAAACUGGGCAGCUAGAGUGCAGGAGAGGUAAGUGGAAUUCGUGGUGUAGCGGUGAAAUGCGUAGAUAUUAGGAGGAACAC
rnacentral:rRNA from 1 species